rnacentral:rRNA from 1 species
UAACUGAAGAGUUUGAUCAUGGCUCAGAUUGAACGCUGGCGGCAGGCUUAACACAUGCAAGUCGAGCGGGGGAAGGUAGCUUGCUACUGGACCUAGCGGCGGACGGGUG